rnacentral:tRNA from 1 species
CGGGGCGUAGCGCAGCCAGGUAGCGCAUCUGCUUUGGGAGCAGAGGGUCGCAGGUUCGAAUCCUGCCGCCCCGACCA